rnacentral:rRNA from 1 species
GUGCAAGCCGCCGCGGUAACACGUAGGGGGCGAGCGUUGUUCGGAAUUAUUGGGCGUAAAGGGCGCGCAGGCGGCCCGGUAAGUCUGGUGUUUAAGACCGCAGCUUAACUGUGGUAAUGCGCUGGAAACUGUCGGGCUUGAGUGCAGGAGGGGGAGCUGGAAUUCCAGGUGUAGGGGUGAAAUCUGUAGAGAUCUGGAAGAACACCGGUGGCGAAGGCGAGCUCCUGGCCAUGGACUGACGCUGAGGCGCGAAAGCGUGGGGAGCAAACAGGAUUAGAAACCCCAGUAGUCC